rnacentral:ncRNA from 1 species
AAACUAGCGUUGAAGAAGAAAAGUAGCAAUGUGAAAUGCUAAAGAGAGCCGGCGGUUGGUGCGAGCCGGUGCAGGAAACAGUGCGAAUGGGCUUCUGAGCUCCGGACCGAACUAUUGAGUAGGCUCCGGCGUACGUCUUACGUUACAAGAGACAGGCAGAUGAUUCUUCUGCUGUUAAAGUGGGCUGCGAUGUUGCGGCCAAUAAAGGUGGUACCACGGCUCCCCGUCCUUUUG